UACGUAGGGUGCAAGCGUUGUCCGGAAUUAUUGGGCGUAAAGAGCUCGUAGGCGGUUUGUCGCGUCGAAUGUGAAAACCCGGGGCUCAACCCCGGGCCUGCAUUCGAUACGGGCAGACUAGAGUUCGGUAGGGGAGUCUGGAAUUCCUGGUGUAGCGGUGAAAUGCGCAGAUAUCAGGAGGAACACCGGUGGCGAAGGCGGGACUCUGGCCCGUUACUGACGCUGAGGCACGAAAGCGUGGGGAGCAAACAGG
rnacentral:rRNA from 1 species